rnacentral:rRNA from 1 species
UAGGGAAUCUUCCGCAAUGGACGCAAGUCUGACGGAGCAACGCCGCGUGAGUGAAGAAGGAUUUCGGUUCGUAAAACUCUGUUGUUAGAGAAGAACAGCGCAUAGAGCAACUGUUAUGCGUGUGACGGUAUCUAACCAGAAAGCCACGGCUAACUACGUGCCAGCAGCCGCGGUAAUACGUAGGUGGCAAGCGUUGUCCGGAUUUAUUGGGCGUAAAGCGAGCGCAGGCGGUCAAUUAAGUCUGAUGUGAAAGCCACCGGCUCAACCGGGGAGGGUCAUUGGAAACUGGUUGACUUGAGGGCAGAAGAGGAGAGUGGAAUUCCAUGUGUAGCGGUGAAAUGCGUAGAUAGAUGGAGGAACACCAGUGGCGAAGGCGACUCUCUGGUCUGUAACUGACGCUGAGGCUCGAAAGCGUGGGUAGCAAACAGG